rnacentral:rRNA from 1 species
CCGCGGUAAAACGUAAGGGGAACAAGCGUUAUCCGGAUUUACUGGGCGUAAAGAGCGUUGAGACGGUUCCGUAAGUUGGGCGUUAAAGCCCCGGGCUCAACUCGGGGAGCUCGUUCAAUGACUGCGGAACUUGAGGACAGCAGAGCGAGACGGAAUUCCCGGUGUACCGCUGAAAUGCGUAGAUAUCGGGAGGAACACCAGUGGCGAAGNCGGCCUCCUGGGCUGCUCCUGACGCUGAAGGCGAAAGCUAGGGGAGCGAACGGGAUUAGAAACCCCGGUAGUCCUAGCCGUAAACGAUGGAUGCUGGAUUUGGGGGGUAUAGAUUCCCUCCGUGCCGAAGCUAACGCGUUAAGCAUCCCGCCUGGGGACUACGGCCGCAAGGCUAAAACUCAAACGAAUUGACGGGUCCCCGCACAAGCAGCGGAGCGUGUGGUUUAAUUCGAUGCUACACGAAGAACCUUACCUGGGUUUGACAUGCAAGUAGUAGUGAAGCGAAAGCGGAACGACCCUUCGGGGAGCUUGCACAGGUGCUGCAUGGCUGUCGUCAGCUCGUGCCGUGAGGUGUCGGGUUAAGUCCCGUAACGAGCGCAACCCUUGCCCUUAGUUAUACGUGUCUAAGGGGACUGCCCGGGACAACUGGGAGGCAGGUGGGGAUGACGUCAAGUCAGCAUGGCCUUUAUAUCCAGGGUGACACACACGCUACAAUGGCCGGUACAAUGGGUUGCCAAGCCGUGAGGCGGAGCCAAUCCCGCAAAGCCGGUCUAAGUUCGGAUUGUGGGCUGCAACUCGCCCACAUGAAGCUGGAGUUGCUAGUAACCGCGCGUCAGCCAUAGUG